CCUCAUGUGACAUUUAAGAACUGGUUCUCAGGUCACUAUAGCCUUGUGGGUCUUGUGAACAGAAGCCCUGCUGACAUUCAAAGCUAGACGCUUUGGGAGCCAUCUCUCAGGUGCUGGUCUCAGAAGUUGAGCUGCCAGAUUCAGGGUUCACACCUUGGCUCCUCAGGAGAAGCUGGGGGUUGUAAGUCACCUCUUGACUGUGAGUCGCUGUGCCAAGGGUGGGGUUCAGGAUGAGAUUGUGUCUUGGUCUCUCUCACCCAUUUUCGUGUGUUUUUCUUCUUGUUCAUCCAAUGCGUGGGAGUUGCUUGGCUAGUUUCAAAGUUUCUUUCAUAUGUGGCUGAAGAUUUGGUGUGUCCAUGGGAGAAGGAAGGAAGGUCAACAGCUGAAGUGAAGACAGGGAGGAGGCACUGGUGAAUGAGGACAGCGGGGUUUGAAACAGUCCUCUGGAAGCGUGGGAGAGGUUCAGAAUAAAAUCCGCAUUGUGGAAGACUACGUGCCAACCUUACAGGGUGCUGUACCUGAGCUGGUGCCUUUGCCAAGCCUUUCUCCUAUCCUGUUCUACAGCCAGCCACUCUGCUCAGGCAAACUACUUCUGGGUGAUGAGGAUUACGUGGUGUUUUGAAGAGAAACUGAACUCUCCCCAUCAAGAUCUGAGGUCUAAAGCUUCUUCCUUUUGAACCUGGACCAGCUUUAGUGACUCUUAUUAUUAACCGAACAUAGUAGAUGGGAGCUGUAUAACUCCAAGGCUGGAUCAGAAGAGACCACGAAGCUUCCACCUGGCUGUCUUGGAAAGCUCACUCUGACGGAAGUCAGAAACCAUGCAAUAAGUCUGAUUAUCCUGCAACCAGUAUGCUGGAGAAGACAAAAGCAGACGCCCUAGUCAACAGCCCAGCUGAGCCAUCAGCCUAUAAUUGACUCCAAGGGUCAGCACUUGAGAGCCGUCUUCGACAGCCAGCCCAUUCAGACUUUCCUAUGACUGUAUCCCAGCCAAUGUCUGAGUGCACCCAUAUCAGAGCCAAGCAUUCCUCAAAUUUCUAAUCUAUAAAAUAAGAAGCAAAGUGAAAUGUUUGUUUCUAGAAUUUUGGGGUUAAUUGUUAGACAAUGAUAAUAACCGAUUAGUGUGUGCCAAGUUCUCUGCUCUGUGCAUUAUUUCAAUCGACUCCUUUAAUACUGACACUGAUGCAAAGUUAAGUGUCAUUUCAUUUUAGAGAUGAGGGGUUGGAAGUGGACAUUGAGAAGACGUGAUUGCUGGUUGACCCACAAGUUGCACCUGGGCAAUCAGGGGCUCCUCACCCCCUCCCCUAUCCUCAGAAUGUGUGUUCUGCCCAUCAUUCCCAUGGUGGGAGCCGUUUUCGAGGAUGGACCCUUGAGAGAGUGAUGUGUUGUUAAGACCAUCUGGACAGGGUAUGUGACUGAAGCCCUUUCAGGCCUCUAUAUAAAUUUUCAAGAUUCUGGCAGGUGGGUGUGGAAACUGACUCUUCUUGUGGGUGCCAGGGAUGAGUUUUGCAUGUAAGUCCCCUUGCUUAUUAAACCUACCACCUACCAAUCCAGAGUGCUCUGCCUCUUCCUUGGGUUUCUCUCUGUCCUCCACAGAUGGGGGCCAGUUUCAAAUUUCACCGGGGGAAAUCCAGUGGUUCCAAGCCAAGAUGACGAAAGUGAGCUUCAAAGAGGUUAACCUUCUCUUCACGGCACGCAGCUAAGGAGAGGCAGAGCUGAAACUCAAGCCUAAGUUUGCCUGACUAACCGU